rnacentral:rRNA from 1 species
AGAACGAACGCUGGCGGCAGGCCUCAAACAUGCAAGUCUAGGGGGUGUAGCAAUACAUCACCGGCGGACGGGUGCGUAACGCGUGGGAAUAUACCUAUUGGUUCGGAACAACUGAGGGAAACUUCAGCUAAUACCGAAUGUGCCCUAACGGGGAAAGAUUUAUCGCCAAUGGAUUAGCCCGCGUUCGAUUAGCUAGUUGGUGGGGUAACGGCCCACCAAGGCGACGAUCGAUAGCUGUUCUGAGAGGAAGAUCAGCCACACUGGGACUGAGACACGGCCCAGACUCCUACGGGAGGCAGCAGUUGGGAAUCUUGGACAAUGGGGGAAACCCUGAUCCAGCCAUGCCGCGUGAGUGAUGAAGGCCUUCGGGUUGUAAACUCUUUCGCGCACGACGAUAAUGACGGUAGUGCGAGAAGAAGCUCCGGCUAACUCGCGCCAGCAGCCGC